UGGUGGAGUGAUUUGUCUGCUUAAUUGCGAUAACGAACGAGACCUUAACCUGCUAAAUAGCCAGGCUAGCUUUUGCUGGUCGCAGGCUUCUUAGAGGGACUAUCGGCUCAAGCCGAUGGAAGUUUGAGGCAAUAACA
rnacentral:rRNA from 1 species